ensembl:lncRNA
CUAUUUUGUGAACGUUUUAUUAUUCUUUUAUUAGCUUUUUCUAUAGGCUCAUUCUUCCGGAGAGCUCUGUCCCUGGCACUACCUAUUAAAGAUGUCAGCAUGGACAAGGUGAUGGACCCAGACAGACUGGGAGCCCCUCACAACUCUGACAUCCUGGGAUCUGUCAUGCUGGCAGUAAGCAAAAAUGUUUACAGCUGUGUCCUGAACACAAGCUGGUCUGGAGGCCCCAGUGGAGGCCCUGCUUCGUGGAGAGGUGCCGGCACCCUGGUGCUGUGUGGCCAGCUGUGCCCGAGCUGUUCAACCAACUGUGUAAUUGAAAAGCUUUUUGAUUUUUCCCCUCCUUUUGCAAACAGCCUGCGUUUUGUUCUGCGGCAUCAAAGGCCAGGAGCUGGGAGGAACAAUGGGUCUGCAGGAGCCCUGGGGAACAAUGGCUGUACCUGGUCCUGGGAAGAAAGCAAGUACUUGGAAGAACAGAGAGAGCUCCCAGUUCAGCAACACAAUUGGCCUCAUCUGGAAAUCUAACUUCGGAGAUCUACACCUUGGCAUGGUCACCCAGAGAAACUGAACUGCAGAGCUGCUGCCGUAGACUGAGCUGAGAGACAACUUAGCUUGUCAGUGCAAUAUUUACUGCACUACUGGGAACUGAUGACAUUAUUGAGUGUUGAAAUAGGAUGGAGCAGUGGAGGAUGGUGUUUUCCCUGCAAACAGGUGGAUGGUAUGCUUUGUCUAAAAGGUGUUUUACAGCUUUAAAGCAGCAGGAUCUUCUUUGUCACUUGAACAGGAAGCCUUUGCUGCUAAGAAUAGCGCAUACAAGCGCCUGCUGUGCUCACACCUACUAUGUAUUUCAAGGAGAAAUUUGGGGGGGUUAAAAGCUCUGAGCAUCUUUUCUGGGGCCCUAUGGACCUCACCAUUUACUUUCACUGGAAAGAUUCCCCACUGUCUUGCAUUUGGCUGAAGUGAACAAGUGAGAUUCCCAAUGUGUGACUUCUGCCAGCUCGGAUCCUGGGAAGAGUCCACCUCUGAUCCCUGAAGUUAGAUGAUGCAACUCACUGCACAUUGGGGUCUCACUGAAUAUAAGUGGAGUGUGUUAUUCUUCCUGACUUUCCAGUCUCCUCUUCAGUGCUGUUCUGGGAAGAAAGGAGGAUGCUUCUGGAUAUUGGAGUCGUUUCCUCAGGAAUGACCCAGUGGAUGGGACUGCUGUAGGAUUUUUUGGCUGCAGAGCGCACUACUCUUGUGAGCAGUAUCAUUGCUCUGCUGUGAAACUGCAGUGUUUGCCACUGAGACCCUGCUGAGUGACAGGAAAGUUCUACCCAGAUCUCAGAAAAUCAGAGGUUCACUUUGAUAAGUAGAGUCCUCACAGUGCGUGAAACCAAAUGAGCUGUGCCAAGUGUGGGGCUGAGAAUAGCAUGGUGAUAUUUUGGCAGGUGAAAGGCAAAGAACUUUUGAUCUCCAGGUUCAGAGAAAACUGUGUAAAGAUGAGGUUAUUUGGAGUGCAGAUCCGUACUGUGUGGUCUGAGCCCGAUGCACUGAACUCCAGACCUGGAACUGUGGUUUUUGGGAGUUUCCCGCUGCUCUCCAGAGAGGUGACUGCAACUUCUCCAGAAUUCUGGGCAGCCUUCAAGCCUGCUGGCUUGGAAACUGAAGCACCAGAGCUGCAAUCACUCAGGUUUUGUUUGCCAAGGAUUUACCCAGAGCCCUGGGCAGCUCUGACUUUUUGCCUUACCUAAGGCAAGGAGAUUAGAUAACAGCUUGGAAUGAGAGUGAAGAAAGUCCAUGCACAUGGAGUAUCUUGCUGCCUCAGCUGUUGGUGAGAUCAUGGGGAUGCCUUUUGGGCUGGUAUUAGUCCAGGAUAUUAUUCUAAAUGGGAGUUCAGCAUAUCUUGGUUGGAUACUUUGCUGGAAAACUUGCACCUGCAUCAUAUGGGCAUUUGGCAUCAUCUAGGCUUUGGAAGUCUCGUGUGCCUGUGCUUUGGAGUUUUAAGGGGUGCAAGACCAUGCAGUGUGGUGGUUAUAUCCAGGAGACAUGAGGGGAGGCCUAAUAAAGAGACAACUGAGUGGCCUGGAUUGGUUCUAUGAAGAAUGCAAAACAAUCCUGGGCCAUCUCAGAGUAAGCUGCACUCAUGGUGCCUCUUGAACCCAUGUCCUGUUAUUGUUGGUGUGGAACAUGAGUGUCUGGGCCAAUGAAAAUAAGGAAGGCAGCUUGACAGACACAGAUUUUAUCUUUUGAGAUUCGCCAUGACCUUUCUAGUGUUUAAUAAAUAAAG